GAGAUUUUCAUUCAUUAGUAAGACUCUAAAAGAGACGGUCGCAUAUGCACAUAUGUUUAUAAGGUGCAUACUAUGUUCCAACAACUCUUGUUGUUGUUGAUAUUGUUUGAUCUCCUUCAAACAUUCUUGCUAAACCAAAAUCUGAAAUCUUCGCGUUUAGGUUCUCGUCUAACAAAAUAUUGCUCGUUUUCAGGUCCCUGUGGAUGACAUUGAGUCUGGAAUCAUGGUGGAGGUAGAGGAGGCCUCUUGCAAUCCCCAUAAUGAUCUCAAACCGCUUUGGCCAAUUCAGCAGGGCUCUUCUUCGCUGAUCUGCAGCAGUUGCUGAAGAGUUUUAAGUGAGGGUAAGUAUACAUUUCUGAUUAUGUGCUAUGUUUAUUGGCUUAAAGGGAUUGAUCGAACCAAAAAUGAAAUGAUCCAAGCUUCUGUUCAGCAUGUACUCGUAGAUCAGCAUCUUUUCCUCCCCUUCAACGCAGCAUCCCAAGAUCUUGACGAGGUUCCUGUGCU
rnacentral:lncRNA from 1 species